UCCACCCCUUAGGACUAACUAAGAGAGAAAAUAUUUACCUCAGUAUUGUUUGGUUUAUAGUCAAACAUAAUGAAGCAUACCUGCAGUCCCACUCUUUGAGAGGUAGAGGCAGGAGGAUCGACACAAGUUUGAGAUCAGCCUGGGCUACAUAGCAAGUUCCAGGCUAGGUUGAGUGGUCACAUAGAUGCCCUGAAAAAUAUCAAGUGGCAUGCUAAACAUAGUGCACAGUAUAUCUACUGGAAAGUUUAUAUUUCAAACUGCUCUGAUCACAUCCCUCAAUAAUAAGCAAGCAAAUUUACUGGAAGAAAAGCAAAGCUCCCUUUAUUUUUGCUCAAUGCCUAUUCUUUGCUAUUUUGAAAUGGAAUAAUUCCUCUUCCGAUAAAGCCCUGGAGAAAUGGUUCUCAUUUAGAAAUUUGUACAGGGAAGUUUCCUCUGACUUCUCCAGUGCUAAACCUUGUACCCAGUUCCAGUAUUCUUUCCGACUGAAGAGGUUCCAGUUUCUAUCCCUGGUUUGGCUCCUGGAAUGCAAUGCCCUGGAAAAGAGCAUUUAUCAACAAUGCAAACGUACAGCUCCUGGUUGUGAAGACUAAGAAGUCCAAGAUCGCGGUGCUGGCAGACCCAGUAGCUGGUGAGGAAGCCUCUCUGCUACCGACACAGAUAGCACCUUGUCUGCCGCUCAGGCAAAGCGGCUCCUUUCGUCGUUAUUUGUCCGGACAUUAAUUGUACCGUGUCCACAGAGUCUUCGUGAUUUAAUCACUUACUGAAAAGCCCACUCUUGCUUCCAACAGCUUACCAGAAUAGUGUAUUGGUUGUUUUCUCUCAUUAGCCUGAUUCCCACAUAAAAUUGAUAUUACUGUUCUUUUAGCCUUGAAAUCAUUUGGAGCAGUACAGUGAAAAAGAUCAACUUUAUUUAAAUACUUAAAAUGAUCACUUCUUCAAGAACACUGAAACUAAGUUUAGAUUUUUAAAAAUUUACAUUAGUAUCUUUACUGUCUUAAGGGCAAAAUCCAGUAAACACAUAGUGCCUUCAAUUCUGCCACUUUGCACGGUGAAUGAGGCAGGUGGAUGCGUGUGGGCAGGACACUGUGCUGUGGUGGCAGGGGAGCAGAUUUUUCUUCUGUAGAGACGGUAACUGGGGAUUUUUCUGCCAAGCUGCAGCCUCUCCUUGGUCCUCUCAGGCUGUAGACCUGAACUCAACCCCCAUAACCCAGAAUGCACUUCACAGAGAGGGCAGCUCCUUAGUCUAAAUAAGACAAGUAUCAUGGCCCAAUCUCUUAACCAUUAAUGUGGUGGCUAGGUUUCAACAUCAGAAUUUUAGGGAGACACCAAUAUUUACGCACUUGCAUAUUUAAUGUCUAAGCUUUGGGACCUUGGAUAAAAGUGUAAAUUAAGAUUAGUGCACAAUAUUAUAAAUGUAAAAUUAAUAAACCAAGAGA